CAGCAGCCGCGGUAAUACAGAGGGUGCAAGCGUUAAUCGGAAUUACUGGGCGUAAAGCGCGCGUAGGUGGUUUGUUAAGUUGGAUGUGAAAGCCCCGGGCUCAACCUGGGAACUGCAUCCAAAACUGGCAAGCUAGAGUACGGUAGAGGGUGGUGGAAUUUCCUGUGUAGCGGUGAAAUGCGUAGAUAUAGGAAGGAACACCAGUGGCGAAGGCGACCACCUGGACUGAUACUGACACUGAGGUGCGAAAGCGUGGGGAGCAAACAGGAUUAGAGACCCCCGUAGUCCCUGUCUCUUAUAC
rnacentral:rRNA from 1 species